UUUAGCGCAAUUUCUUAUUUCUUGGUGUUCGGCGCGU
rnacentral:sRNA from 1 species